rnacentral:tRNA from 1 species
GGUGCAGCUCAGUGGUAGAACACUUGCCUGGCAUGUGCAGGGCCCUGGGUUCCAUCCCCAGCACCA